UACGUAGGGGGCAAGCGUUGUCCGGAUUUAUUGGGCGUAAAGAGCGUGUAGGCGGCGCGGUAAGUCGGAUGUGAAAUCUCGGGGCUUAACUCCGAAACUGCAUUCGAUACUGCCGUGCUUGAGGACUGGAGAGGAGACUGGAAUUUACGGUGUAGCGGUGAAAUGCGUAGAUAUCGUAAGGAAGACCAGUGGCGAAGGCGGGUCUCUGGACAGUUCCUGACGCUGAGGCACGAAGGCCAGGGGAGCAAACGGG
rnacentral:rRNA from 1 species